rnacentral:antisense_RNA from 1 species
CCCCUGCCUGGAGCCUCACACAUGACUCGUCUCCUCUCAGUGACCACAGGUUGGUUGAGGGGUUUAACAAGGCUAAGAAGGUGAGACGUGGUCUUGUAACACAGUGGUUAAGAAUGUGACUUUGGAGCCAGCCUGCUAGGGGCUGAAUUCUGACUCAGCCAUUUACUAACUGUGUGACCUUAGGUGGAGUCUCACUCUGUAGCCCAAGCUGGAGUGGUGUGAUCUCGACUCACUGCAACCUCCGCCUCCUGGGCUCAAGUGAUUCUCGUGCCUCAGCCUCCUGAGUAGCUGGGACUACAGCCAGAGACAGACUCCCAGACUCGGCCAGAGGCUGAUGCCGACUCCUUCCAGCUCUCACGGUAACCAUGAGGCCCCUGCGUGUUUCUGCUGUGGAGGUCCCAGAGGGAACUGUAUGGACAGACACAGCCUGAAGGGCCAUCUGCCUCAAGCCACAGCAGCACAGAAUUCUAAAGAUUGUGGGGAAGGAUGGCGCCUAGGGGACCAGAUGUGCAGAGGUAAUGAAUACCAGGGAAUCAGGAAACCACUGGAUCAGUUCUUUGAGCCACAGAACAACACUCAUCCCAGCAGCUGGGAAGCUAUCUGCAAAAGUCCAUCUGCAGAAAGGGCUUCCUGGUCUUGCGUGUGGCUGGGCCAUUUCUCUGGAUGCAGGUUUUUCAUUAUACAGUCUUCUCAAAGAAACACCUGCUCUCAACACCUUCUCGGUGACUCCAUUUCCCCUCCUCU